rnacentral:rRNA from 1 species
AUGAGGCCGGGAAGGCCCAGAUCUGGGCCGGGGACGCGCCGCCGGCCACCGCACGCCACCACGCCGCCCUGCUGCCAAGGGCAGCACCACCACCGCGCCUACCGCCGGCCCCCGUCCCGGACCAGGGAGACGCGCGCGCGGGGAGAGGAGGUCCUGCCGCCGCCGGCACCCCCCCGGGCCGGAGCCAGGGGCGCCCACCGGCAACGGCAGGGGAGGGGAAGGGCGGAUCGACGCCGAGAGCAGCGGCGCAGGGGCCGCCCCGGCCGCCUCCCGGGGAGGCGGCGCGGGGGCGGAAGGAGGGGGAGGGGAGGAGGGGCGGGGGGAGGAAGGGCCGGAUCCGGGCCGCGCGCCGGCGAGGGAGGCCGGAUCCCGCCGGCGACGAGCGGGGAAGGGCGGCAGCGGCUAGGGUUGCGGGACGGGAGCGGGUCCGAGACUAAGUUUUCCUUCGCCGCUGUAGUCAAUUCCUCUGGCCUACCAGCUUUGUCUUAG